GAAUGAACUAGCCCUGAAAAUGGAUGGCGCUCAAGCGUGUUACCCAUACCUCGCCGCUACAGUAGAUUCGACGCUGUAGCGAGUAGGCAGGCGUGGAGGUCAGUGACGAAGCCUUGGGGGUGACCCCGGGUAGAACGGCCUCUAGUGCAGAUCUUGGUGGUAGUAGCAAAUACUCAAAUGAGAACUUUGAGGACUGAAGUGGGGAAAGGUUCCGUGUGAACAGCAGUUGGACACGGGUUAGUCGAUCCUAAGCCAUAGGGAAACUCCGUUUUAAAGUGCGCACUUGUGCGUCGCCCGGCGAAAGGGAAACCGGUUAACAUUCCGGUACCUGGAUGUGGAUUCUCCACGGCAACGUAACUGAAAGCGAAGACGACGGCGGGGGCCCUGGGAAGAGUUCUGUUUUU
rnacentral:rRNA from 1 species